GAUGAACGCUGGCGGCGUGCCUAAUACAUGCAAGUCGAGCGAACAGACGAGGAGCUUGCUCCUCUGACGUUAGCGGCGGACGGGUGAGUAACACGUGGAUAACCUACCUAUAAGACUGGGAUAACUUCGGGAAACCGGAGCUAAUACCGGAUAAUAUAUUGAACCGCAUGGUUCAAUAGUGAAAGACGGUUUUGCUGUCACUUAUAGAUGGAUCCGCGCCGCAUUAGCUAGUUGGUAAGGUAACGGCUUACCAAGGCAACGAUGCGUAGCCGACCUGAGAGGGUGAUCGGCCACACUGGAACUGAGACACGGUCCAGACUCCUACGGGAGGCAGCAGUAGGGAAUCUUCCGCAAUGGGCGAAAGCCUGACGGAGCAACGCCGCGUGAGUGAUGAAGGUCUUCGGAUCGUAAAACUCUGUUAUUAGGGAAGAACAAAUGUGUAAGUAACUAUGCACGUCUUGACGGUACCUAACCAGAAAGCCACGGCUAACUACGUG
rnacentral:rRNA from 1 species